rnacentral:tRNA from 1 species
UCUGGUAGUUAAAUUAAAUAAUAUUGGAUUGCAAAUCUAAAGUAGCUAAAUUGCUCAGAUUUAU